rnacentral:lncRNA from 1 species
CUCUGACCACCACCCUAAAGAAUCCAGGGAUGCUCUACCCUGUGCUCCUGGGCUCCUGUACAUCUACAGAGUCAAGACGGGCCUCAAAUAAGACUCAGACCUUUAAAUUCUAACUCGAGGCAAAACAGGGUUCUUCUGAUGUCUAAAUGUUCCUGUUUGUUUAAGGACAAUGAAGUCAUACCUAAGGACAUUGGGCCUAAGACUGAAGCGCCUACUGGGAAUAUGAAGAGGGUCUUUUGUUCUGGAAGCAGUCCAACUUCACUCGCUGUACAUCGUGUUUCUCACAAGCUACAAUCAAGACGUCAAGUGAUUCUAUAAUCAUUUCAAAGCUUUUGGGGAAGGAUCCCAUUGCAGGAUAUUUCCUGUUCUCUUUCAGGAGUCAAGCCCUCAAAGGAAUCAGGCUGAAGACUUCAUUUUCUCACUGGUUGUUGUAUUAAUGCUGCUGUCAAUGCCUGGAAAUACUGGUGGCUUCCAUAAAACAGCUCACAUCAUGACUUUCCUUCCUUAAAGUGAGAAAUCAAGUUUGAAAACAUGGAAGAAUCAGACUUUUAUUUUUUAUCAUGGUAAUAACAUUUACAAACAUGUUUCCGGAAUGCAUUAUGCUCAUAAACCAAAGUUUUCCUGUAUAUUGAAAGUUGCAAUGUAUUGUUUUAAAAUAUGUAUACAAAAAAAUAAGAACCAAGAGAGUAUGUAAAGGUGCGUAUCUCCAGUGAUGAAUGUCAUUAUGUUGUACACCUAAAAUGUACCAAUAAAAGGAUAUACAAAAAUAAAAUAAAAUAUGUAUACAUCCAGAAGCCAUCAGCACAGUCAAGAUGAUGAAGCUAUCCUUCAAUUCCCAAUUUUCUCACAUAGUUGGGAAUUCCUUCUGCUUCCCCUCACCCUUCAUCCUCGGGCAACCUCUG